UUCUCCGCCUCGCCCGAGGGCUCGGCUGUAUCUUUUUCCUUGAACUGAGGGUGUAGGUGUAAAACUUGGGGACUUUUCAGCGUUACGUCUGAGGACCCCUAGCACAUCUAUUCCUCUAGUUUGAGGGUCAGAUCAUAAGUUUCUCCCCACCCGACCCUUAUAUCUUGAUCUCCAUCAACUCAAUCGAACCUCCCCACCCUCCUGUAACUUGCCGCAAGUUUCUGGGCUCAAACUUGCAAGUGUUG
rnacentral:lncRNA from 1 species